GGGGGUGUGGCUCAGUGAUAGAGCACUUUGUUGGCAUAAGUGAGGCCCUGGGUUCAAUGCCCAGCACUUCAA
rnacentral:tRNA from 1 species